rnacentral:tRNA from 1 species
AGCUUAAUUGGCAGAAUAGUGCGCCCGACUUAGAAUCGGUCCAUGGUUAUUAUUAAUCAUUAAGC